AAACCAACAGGGAUUGCCUCAGUAGCGGCGAGUGAAGCGGCAAAAGCUCAGAUUUGAAAUCGUGUUUCGGCACGAGUUGUAGAUUGCAGGUUGGAGUCUUUGUGGAAGCGUGUGUCUAAGUCCCUUGGAACAGGGUGCCAUUGAGGGUGAGAGCCCCGUGAGACGCGUGCGGAAGCUGUAAGGCCCUUCUGACGAGUCGAGUUGUUUGGGAAUGCAGCUCUAAGUGGGUGGUAAAUUCCAUCUAAGGCUAAAUAUUGGCGAGAGACCGAUAGCGAACAAGUACUGUGAAGGAAAGAUGAAAAGCACUUUGAAAAGAGAGUGAAACAGCACGUGAAAUUGUUGAAAGGGAAGGGUAUUGGGCUCGACAUGGGAUUUGCGCACCGCUGCUCCUUGUGGGCGGCGCUCUGUGCUUUUCCUGGGCCAGCAUCGGUUUUUGCCGCAGGAGAAGGCGUGCUGGAAUGUGGCCCUUCGGAGUGUUAUAGCCGGUGCGAGAUGCUGCGUGCGGGGACCGAGGACUGCGACAUCUGUCUCGGAUGCUGGCACAACGGCGCAAUAUCGC
rnacentral:rRNA from 1 species